UAAAAAACUCUUUCUGUGGUCCUUAAAAGGCGUAGUGCGAAUAUUCAACUUCAUAAUUACAGCGGGACUCUGAAGCCGCACAGCUUUUUGGUCGCCUACUUCAAAGUUGUGAGACAUGGACGGCUUCCUUGCCAAGUACCUUGCUAUAGGGCUUGCUAGUGCACUCGUUGCGCUGAUCAUUGUCCCCUACAGCGCUGAAGCGGUUCCUCCAGGCGUAAUCGAAGCUGCAGUCGCUGCGCUUAGAGACUUUUUUGGAAGGGACGAGAAAAAAUCCGAGGAGUAAGGUGUUCGUCAAUGUGUAUCCUGCAGUGCGUGAAAGCCCAAGCCUCAUAAAAUUCAAUUAAUUCAACGAAGCAACAAACUGGUGUAGACAAAAUAAAUAUAUCAGAAACAUUGGUUACCGCA